rnacentral:rRNA from 1 species
GGAAUCUUCCACAAUGGGCGAAAGCCUGAUGGAGCAGCGCCGCGUGUGUGAUGAAGGGUUUCGGCUCGUAAAACACUGUUGUAAGAGAAGAAUGACAUUGAGAGUAACUGUUCAAUGUGUGACGGUAUCUUACCAGAAAGGAACGGCUAAAUACGUGCCGG